rnacentral:rRNA from 1 species
UACGAAGGGUGCAAACGUUGCUCGGAAUCAUUGGGCGUAAAGCGCACGUAGGCGGCCUCGCAAGUCGGAUGUGAAAUACCUAGGCUCAACCAAGGACGUGCAUCCGAAACUGCAAGGCUUGAGUACAGAAGAGGAUCGCGGAAUUCCCGGUGUAGAGGUGAAAUGCGUAGAUAUCGAGAGGAACACCUGCGGCGAAGGCGGGUUGCUGGGCUGACACUGACGCUGAGGCGCGAAAGCCAGGGGAGCGAACGGG